GGGCUCCCCUCUCUAUUUUUGCCCCUCCAAUUAUCUCUCUCUUGGUCGCGGUGAUUAGGGUUCCGAUCCGAGGCUAGGGUUCUUGGGGGUGGAGAUGGAUGAGGACGAGGAGGAUUACUUGUUUUACGGCACGCCGAUCGAGCGGGAGGAGGAGACGUCGGCGCGGAAGAGGAAGGCCGUCGCCGACGCCGGCCAGCUGCGAACCCUUCCCCAAUGGAAGCAAGAGGUCAGAGAUGAGGAAGGUCGCAGAAGAUUUCAUGGUGCAUUCACUGGAGGCUUUUCUGCUGGCUACUACAAUACUGUUGGUUCAAAAGAGGGAUGGACUCCACAGACAUUUACGUCAUCACGCAAAAAUAGAGCUGAAGUGAAACAGCAGACUAUAUAUAAUUUUUUUGAUGAAGAUGAUAUUAAGGGUAUGGGAGGGCAUGCGUUGGAGACAUCCCUGCAAUUUGAUACCUUUGGAUUUACUGCUGCAGAAUUUGCCCGUAAGAAGGCAGAGAAGGAACAACAGAAGAGACCAUCAGCUAUUCCUGGACCUGUUCCCGAUGAAAUAGUUCUUCCUGCAGCAAAUUCUAUUGGUAUAAAGCUAUUGCAGAAAAUGGGAUGGCGUCAUGGUCAUUCUAUCAAGGACACACAUACUGAUUCCUUGUAUGAAGCACGCAGAGAAGCUAGAAAAGCAUUCCUGGCCUUUUCUGGUAAUGACGGAGGACCAGAACUUGCUCAAAAUGAAUCAAGCAGGUCUGACUCUGAAGAAUGUAGUGAAAAAUGCAAGGAUGGCAUCUAUGCUUCUCAAAAUACUCCUAUGUAUGUACUACAUCCGAAGCUGGAUUUACAUGGAUUGGGUUAUGAUCCGUUCAAGCAUGCUCCUGAAUUUAGAGAUAGGAAAACAUUCCAUGAAUCUAAAAAUAAGGAUCGUCAUUAUAGAAGUGAUGUUUCAAUGAAGGGGAAUCUUUUAGCUUCCAACUCAGGAAAAUAUGCCCCAGGCUUCGGAAUCGGAGCACUUGAGGAACUUGAUAUUGAAGAUGAGGAUAUUUACGCAUCAGGUUUUGACUUUGAACAAACUGAAGUUGAAGAAGUUGAGCCUUCAAGAAUUAUCAGACACAAUAAGUAUAAACUGGAAGAUAAAAAGCAGGGAGUUCUGCCUGGUUUUAAAGUUGCAUCGAUUUCCGACUACAAUGUUGUAAGAUUUCUCCCUCCUGUUAUUCCAGCUGAUUUUGAGCCAUAUCACAAGUUUCCUACCCCUCUUGAGAUGGAAGAUAAGUUAGCUGAGUUACCUCCUCCUGAGGUACCUCCUCCAGAAGACAAUAAUUUGAGACUGUCGAUCGAAGGGCUUGCAACUUUGGUUGCUCGUUAUGGGAAACAUUUUGAAGAUCUCUCCAAGGAGAAGCAUAGAUCCAAUCCAUUAUUCUCAUUUCUUAAUGGAGGAAAUGGCCACAGUUAUUAUGCAAGAAAGUUGUGGGAGGAGAAGCAAAAAAAAGUUGAUCAGCGAAGGAUGGAAGAUGUAAAAUCCAAGUCAUCUGUCCAAACAAUGACUGCAGACAGUCGUGGAAGAAUUCUUGGUGAAAAGCCCUUGGAGAGAAGCUCCAGUGGAUCUAGCUCAUCUACUGCCUUCAAAGAAGUCGUCCAUUUCCAGUCCAAUCUUUCAGACACAUUUACCAAACCAAACUCUCUUGUCGAGUCAUCAGAAUCUGUAAAACCUUUCAAAAAUGAUCCUGCAAAGCAAGAAAGAUUUGAGUAUUUUCUUAAGGAUAAGUACGAAGGUGGCCUCCGUUCUACACAGGCCUUGGGUAGUAGUAUCAUGUCGGAGGCUGAUCGUGCCCGCGAGAGACUGGACUUUGAGGCUGCAGCAGAGGCAAUUGAAAAGGGCAAAGGGAACACAAAAAUUUGUGUUCCAUCAACCCACACAGUUUUGCCAGGACUUGGGGAGCAGUUCUUUAUACCAUCAACCGGAGUAGAGAAACAUGACAUUUCUCAAGAUGAAGAAAAGAUAAUGAAUAAGUUUUACCCAAAGAGAGAAGAGUUUCAGUGGCGACCUACACCCAUUCUAUGCAAGCGAUUUGAUAUCGUCGAUCCUUUCAUGGGGAAGCCACCACCCUUGCCUAGACCCAGAAGCAAGAUGGAGACCCUUAUCUUUAUGACAGAAUCUCUCAAGAGUUCAAAGACUGAAGAGACAAGUUCUGCUGCCAGAGACUCAAAACACAUAUCUCUAUCAGAAGUACAAGAGGUUCAGAAACAACCAACUGCUAACGAGCCUGACAUUGAGCCAAGCACUACAACUGUGCAGAGGCCAGUUGAUCUAUAUAAGGCCAUUUUCUCUGAUGAAUCUGAUGAUGAUGUGGAUGGUGCUAGUCCCAGCCAAGUGGUUGAUCCUGCAAGUAAGAAUGAAGGUGCUAACACAACUUUAAACCGUUUGAUAGCAGGGGAUUUUCUAGAAUCUUUGGGUAAAGAGCUAGGACUAGAGGUUCCUCCUGAUAGGCCCUGCCAACCGUAUAAAGCCAACAGUUCAACCUUAACAGAAAAUGCUUCCAUGGGAGAUCUCAAAAUCCCAUCAACUAAUGAAAAAUCCACAUCUACAUUUGAAAUGCCCAAAGUGCUCUUGGAAAACAAGGAUGAAGCUUGCAAACCAUGGCCUCCUGAAAAUGGCAAAAACAGUGCUUCUGCUUCUAAAGCAUGGGAGAUUGAAGUUCCGCCUUUUAAUGGGGAUGGGCAUGGUCAUUGUUCCUCUUCGAAAGAUAGUUUUAACAUCUGUUUGAGGAGUGGAGUGGCUAGUGGUCGUCCUGAUGUUAAAAAUGAUAAAGUUCAAGUAGAGAAAGAUGAACUUGAUGCUAAAAUAAGUCGCUCACACUCAAAGUAUCGAAGAAGCAGGAGUAGCUCUCCAGAUACUGAUUCUUGUGAUCAACAUUGGAUUAAAAAAAGCAGAACUCACUCAAGGCAUCAUCGAGGCAGGAGCAAGACCCCAGAUACAGAUUCUUCUAGUGAUCAACAUCGUUCUAGAAAAAAUAGAACUCACUCAAGGCAUCAUCCAAGCAGGAGCAGAACUCCAGAUACUGAUUAUUAUAGUGAUCAAAAUAAAGCUAAACACAGUAGAACUCAAUCAAGGCAUCGCCAUAGGAGCACUACACCGGAUAUUGAUUCUUCUAGUGAUUGCCGGUAUCGUGAUCUCUCAAGGUCCGGAGUAGAAAAAUGUUCACCUCAAGGAAAAAGGAAAAAGCGCUCAAGACACCACAAGCACAAAAGGAGAUCUCCGGAUAGAUAUGCUAGCCGUGACAACGACAGGGAUCUCACAGAUGAUAGCAGAAAGGAUAGGAAAUCAGGGGACAGGGGAAGGCACUCUGCAAAAUCAAAAUCAGAUAGUCAUAGAAACUACCGUUGAACAUACUUAAGAUGAAAGAGAUGAAAAUCAUUCUAGAGUUGUAGCAUGUUUUGGAAAUUAGGCAUUAUGUUCCUUUUAACUUCACAUUUGUGUCAUGUGUGAUGCAAGUGGGAAGAGGAAAUAUGGAUGCUUGCAGUCUGAUGGAUGGAGUUGUGCUCGUAAUAAGAAAGACAUGGAAAGGAAAGAAUUUCAUCUGGAUAAAUGGCAUACAGCUCAAUGCAACCAUGGCCGGGAGCUAGAGGAAAUGCUUCAUUGUUGCCAUUGAAACUGCUGCCGUCUUGGGUGACUUUGUUUCCAUCAUCCUUCCUUAGGCCCACACUGAUACUUAAAUCAUUAACGAACGAUUGAAGGGAUCGAUAAUUAUUAUGUCGCCUCUGUUAAAUGGAAAGACCAGAUUGUAUAGUAUCCCGUUGAAACACAACUCUCUUUUAAAGAAUGCAUUAGUAUUUAAAUA